rnacentral:rRNA from 1 species
AUUGAACGCUGGCGGCAGGCCUAACACAUGCAAGUCGAACGGUAACAGGAAGAAGCUUGCUUCUUUGCUGACGAGUGGCGGACGGGUGAGUAAUGUCUGGGAAACUGCCUGAUGGAGGGGGAUAACUACUGGAAACGGUAGCUAAUACCGCAUAACGUCGCAAGACCAAAGAGGGGGACCUUCGGGCCUCUUGCCAUCGGAUGUGCCCAGAUGGGAUUAGCUAGUAGGUGGGGUAACGGCUCACUUAGGCGACGAUCCCUAGCUGGUCUGAGAGGAUGACCAGCCACACUGGAACUGAGACACGGUCCAGACUCCUACGGGAGGCAGCAGUGGGGAAUAUUGCACAAUGGGCGCAAGCCUGAUGCAGCCAUGCCGCGUGUAUGAAGAAGGCCUUCGGGUUGUAAAGUACUUUCAGCGGGGAGGAAGGGAGUAAAGUUAAUACCUUUGCUCAUUGACGUUACCCGCAGAAGAAGCACCGGCUAACUCCGUG